rnacentral:sRNA from 1 species
GGAGGAGAACAAGGCAAUACAAUGUCCGACAAUGACCCCUGGUCUUUGAGACCUCCCGGCCUGGCUAGCGCGGGAAGAGAGGAGGGGGAGGGAGAAGACAUUCUGGGAAUGAACAAAUCUGCCCGGAAUACCGGGGCCGGUCACAGACAUCGACAUAAUAAACACAAUCAGCUGGCGGGGGCGUUGUCCGAGGCUAGCGCUGAUGGUGCGGCUGGUGGGGGCGGGGCCGGUCAUGGUAAUGUUGACCUCAACAGGGGGUCAAACUACGCGGCGUCCGCCUCUUCCCCGGCCGCUGACUUCCGAGAUUACAGCCGUGACAUUGGGGUCAAAGGUGAGUUCCAGGACGCGUUGAAGGAAUCCAGUGCGUUCAAUAGCAGCGCGCUCUACGACAGGUUGCUUCGCGGAGGAAGACCUCGUUCGGAUUUUCCCGUUUCCGCUCCGCGAAGAGUAAUCGGUGACGGCGACGACGAUUUUUUCGGACUUCCCGGAAGUAACGGGACUGUGUCUGAUGACGCCAGUGGAUUGUUCUCAGGGAUGGUGAAGAAUCCGAUGAGGCAAAAUUCUCAAUUUCCUUUGUCUAAUAAUACGUACAGCAUUUCUGACCUUGACCUCGGCUCUGCCAAGAGUGACCCUGACAUUGAUUCCACGAUACCGGUUCAUUAUACAGAGUACGAUAUUAUGAAUCUAGGAAGAGGAGGAGGAGACGGAGGAGGAGGAGGAGGAGGGGGAGGAGGAGGAGGAGGGGUAGUUGGGGGUUAUAGCCCUGGAACACAAGAUCUCUACGAUAUCCACGCCAACAAUGACGCUGACACAUUCUACAGAGACGUUUACGACGACGAAAAUGACGCGGAGUACCAGGUGAAUCACAUUCUUCCGAUCAACGCCGAUGAGGGGUCAAAAACGCCGCAUUUCGACGCGGAAUUUUUCCCGGAAAGUGCAGGUGAUUCAGAAGACAAUCUUUCUUUCAACAACACUUUAUUGAACCCGUCAUCAGGAGGAGUUUUCACGAAUCCGAAAAAUGACGCGGCGUCCUACUCUUUCUCCUUCCCCUCCUGGAGUGCCUCCUCACCUACGGGUGCGGGCACUAGUGACGUUUUCAGCAACUCCCAACCCCAGCCCGUUCCAAACUUUGACCUCGACCACCUUCACAACUUGACCUUACGAGGGGGGUCAGAGUUCAACAUCACACCUCUCGUUGACCCAGAAUACACGAACGUCCUUUUCGAUCAGGGCACCCGACUGGCACCCGACUACGAUUACAGCAUCGUUGCUCACGCAGCGGCCAAUAACUCUUCAAUUUUUGGCGGGAAUAUUACAGAUCUUCUGAUGGCUAAUGGAGGGCGGGAAGAUGAGUACACCUGGAGUAUCUUGAUGAUGGCGCCACUGGUCGUGUUCGGAGUGGCGGGGAACACACUGGUCAUCCUGGCUAUCUCCCUGGAGAAACGGCUACAGAACGUGACCAACUACUUCCUGUUGUCUUUGGCGGUGACUGAUCUCCUGGUGUCGCUGAUUGUCAUGCCUUUCUCAAUCAUCAACGUCUUUACAGGUAUGUGUGUGU